GCAUGAGGGGCCCAGGAGGGCUAGAUGGUGGUUUUAACACUAUAGGAUCAGGAAUACAUGUUUGUGUUCCUGACCCUAUAGUGAUCCUUUAACAUGUGCCCAUAAAUCACUAUUGUGCUGGGAUUUAUUAGAUCAACCGUGCAGUGUUACAGAAUGUUGUAGGAGAACUACUACCUGGAUUAUUACAAAAGAUGGAAAUCCAGGGGAUGAGUCUAUUGUAGUCUGGAGCGCACCUUUAACAAUGAGAAUUGUCACACAUUUAAAGGGAAC